AAUAAUAAUAAAAGUACCUACUAAUAGAGUUAUUGGGAGGAUUAGCAAGAUAAUGCAAGUUAAAGUCCUUAAUACAGAAUCUAUCCAUAACAAGUGUUCAGUUAAAGUCGGUUAUUAUUAUUUAUUCAGCUGGAAGAUAUGGAAUGCCUGCUCUGUGGUAGGUGAUAGGAUUCACAAAUCUCUUCUGUCGUCUAGAUCGGGAACUAGAAUCUAAACACACAAGUGUAAUUUGAGGUCCAAGCUGAGGUAAAUAGGAUUGGAGUCUUGAACUUCUCUCUCUGCCCUACUACAUCCUGGGCUCCUAAGUUGAAGAGUUAAUUGUGAUUUCAAUAGGAUUAGGAUGCCUGUUAAAUUUAUUUUCAUUUAUUUCCAUUUUUUUCCUGAGAAUAAGCAUACCUUGGUAUAUAGUAAAAGAGCCUUGCAUACUCUGAAAAAGGUGGAACUUUGCCUGUCAGCUGACAAUCUUUUUAAAACUUCCUUUCAAAGAUGUAGUUCUGAAGCUUCUUAAGAAAUGUCUGCCGAGGCACAGCUAACGUAUGAGUACAAUCAUGCCUCAAUGAACGGCGGGGAUACAUUCUGAGAAAUGCAUCGUUAGGCAGAAAAAUAAAGCCUAAUGGCUUGAAAAGAAAGUCCAACUUUUUCCAUACUGGAUCAAAAUUAAUCUGAAAUACAGAGCCAUGUGAAAAACAGGAGACUCGGGUUAUUGAGGCAGACCCUGAGGGAGAAUUCCAGAUUUUUCCUGUUGUCAGGUGCAGACCAACACAGCAGCUGGGACUGUAUGGGUACAUUGUGCACAUGUAAAAUAAAGCAGUGAUUCCUCUGUC